rnacentral:lncRNA from 1 species
UUUCCUCUACAUUAUAGCUAAAAUAUUUUCCCCACACUUACUUUUACUUUGUAAUUUAGCUUUUUCAUGUUGGUGCAUAGCUCCUUUAAAAACUUAACACUUCAAUCUUGCAGAAAGUUUCUAGGAUUUCCUUGUCUUCUUCUUCUUUCCUUAAUUCUGCAAAUCUUUUUGAAAAUGGUGGAGGGAUUGUAAAUGGUGCUAGCUGGUCAGAAUCUAGUUUUGUUUU